UCCACACAAAUAACCAGUAACAUCAUCAUCUUCAAUAGCCGAAACCCUAGAUCCAGAAGUAUUCGAUUCACACAAAUAACCAGUAACAUCAUCAUCUUCAAUAGGUGAAACCUAGAAUCAGAAGUAUGUGAUCCACUGUCGUAAACCAUUCCUUUAUCAUCACAAAGCGCGUUUGCCAUCAACGGAAUCUGAACCGUUUCGUCUAAAUCGAAACCACCACCACUAAAUUGAUGAUAAUCUUGAGCACCGUUGCCGUUGUUCGGACUAAAUCGAUUAUAAAACGAAUCCUCAAUUUGAUUCCACAGUUCUGAGGAAGAAUUCACACCAUUUGUGAGAUGAAGCAAAGAAGGAGACACACUAUCUCUCAGAAAAACAGAGACAAAAUCAUCAGAUCUGAUCCACGCUUCUCUUGCAUCUGAGUUAACCGGAAGUGGUGCAAUCUCGCGGUUCAGAAAAUGUAAUAGACCGAGAGCCUAUAAAAGAGUAAGAAUUUGAUGCCUCCAAUUCAGAAAACUAUUAUUAUGAAGCUUAAUUGGCAUGAAACUGGUGAUAUUUGUUAAAGUUAGUGUAGAAUUUGAAGUGAAAUCAGUCAUGUUUGAAGAAGAAUUAGAGUUUAAAGAUGCUGCCAUGAACGAAGAAAGAAGAAGAAAAGAAGCUCAAAAGGUUGAUCGAAAAAAAAAGAAGACGAUCGGAGUUGAUGAGUUUGGCCGGAAAAUACUGCCGGAAUUCUAACAGAAAGGGCAGAGCAUGGCUCUGAUACCAUAAAGAACAGUAUCAAGCUCAACUCAUAAUCUCAUCUCAUCAAACCUAAACUCACAUUCUUCAAGACAUCUACAAAACGCCGGUUGAAGAUUUGGUAAAGGUAUAAAAAAUGAGUAGAUCAUGUGUCGCUUCGUUAGAAAAGACUUCAUCGUUAAAACCUUAAAACUGGUGGUACCAAUUGACUUCGUUAAGAACAUAUAUGGAGUUUAUUGGCAAAGAAAAACAAUAAUGAUACAUCAUAUAAGUGGGAAAAGUUGGCCAGUUUCGUUGAGAAGUGUAAGUGGUGAAUGCAUUAUAACUGACGGAUGGAGUAAUGUGGU